AUACGGAGGGUGCAAGCGUUGUUCGGAAUCACUGGGCGUAAAGGGCGCGCAGGCGGUUUGGUAAGUCAGAUGUGAAAGCCCACGGCUCAACCGUGGAAGUGCAUUUGAAACUGUCAGACUUGAGUACUAGAGGGGAAAGUGGAAUUCCGGUGUAGAGGUGAAAUUCGUAGAUAUCGGGAGGAAUACCGGUGGCGAAGGCGACUUUCUGGCUAGAUACUGACGCUGAGGCGCGAAAGCGUGGGGAGCAAACAGGAUUAGAAACCCUAGUAGUCC
rnacentral:rRNA from 1 species